GUUACAGAUGGGACAUCCAAUAAAAUUGGAACGAUACAGAGAAGAUUAGCAUGGCCCCUGCGCAAGGAUGACACGCACAAGUUGAGAGAUGGUAUU
rnacentral:snRNA from 1 species